UGAAACUGCCACAUCAGGCCGGCCCUCAUGUCGUUACAACUGUGGCUAUAACAUGGGAAGCUGCUCCUGCUCAAGCUCUUGUCGGUACUACGGAAAUUGUUGCUAUGACUACAACUAUUAUUGCUACAACACUAGCCCUUCACCCCCAAC